rnacentral:rRNA from 1 species
UCCAGACUCCUACGGGAGGCAGCAGUGGGGAAUAUUGCACAAUGGGGGAAACCCUGAUGCAGCGACGCCGCGUGAGCGAUGAAGUAUUUCGGUAUGUAAAGCUCUCUCAGCAGGGAAGAAAAUGACGGUACCUGACUAAGAAGCCCCGGCUAACUACGUGCCAGCAGCCGCGGUAAUACGUAGGGGGCAAGCGUUAUCCGGAUUUACUGGGUGUAAAGGGAGCGUAGACGGCGGCGCAAGUCCGGAGUGAAAGCCCACGGCCCAACCGUGGGACUGCUCUGGAAACUGUGCGGCUUGAGUGCGGGAGGGGCAGGCGGAAUUCCUAGUGUAGCGGUGAAAUGCGUAGAUAUACGGAGGAACACCAGUGGCGAAGGCGGCCUGCUGGACAUUAACUGACGCUGAGGCGCGAAAGCGUGGGGAGCAAACAGGAUUAGAUACCCCAGUACU